UUUUUUUUUGAUUUUUCC
rnacentral:sRNA from 1 species